AUUGAACGCUGGCGGCAGGCCUAACACAUGCAAGUCGAACGGUAACAGGAAGAAGCUUGCUUCUUUGCUGACGAGUGGCGGACGGGUGAGUAAUGUCUGGGAAACUGCCUGAUGGAGGGGGAUAACUACUGGAAACGGUAGCUAAUACCGCAUAACGUCGCAAGACCAAAGAGGGGGACCUUCGGGCCUCUUGCCAUCGGAUGUGCCCAGAUGGGAUUAGCUAGUAGGUGGGGUAACGGCUCACCUAGGCGACGAUCCCUAGCUGGUCUGAGAGGAUGGCCAGCCACACUGGAACUGAGACACGGUCCAGACUCCUACGGGAGGCAGCAGUGGGGAAUAUUGCACAAUGGGCGCAAGCCUGAUGCAGCCAUGCCGCGUGUAUGAAGAAGGCCUUCGGGUUGUAAAGUACUUUCAGCGGGGAGGAAGGGAGUAAAGUUAAUACCUUUACUCAUUGACGUUACCCGCAGAAGAAGCACCGGCUAACUCCGUG
rnacentral:rRNA from 1 species